rnacentral:tRNA from 1 species
GGCUGGAUAGCUCAGUCGGUAGAGCAUGAGACUCUUAAUUCCAGGGUCAUGGGUUCAAGCCCCAUGUUGGAUG